CCAAUACACAGCACGGGUUGAGCAGUUGACAAAAGCUUUAGAGGGUGCAUACAUAACAGACGGCAUACCCAUGGAGUUAGCGAGAAGUUAUUCAACUCAGCAUGCAGUUAAAGCAAUGACUAAAAAGUGCGCAAUAGAUAAGGUUAAUCUUAUCAUGCAAGCUGGUACCUUCCGUACAAUGAAUUAUGCCAUAUCAAAGUUCGUAAAUAGUUGCACAGAAGCAACUGGACCGGCAAACACAGUUCUCUACUAUAAAUAUUAUCCACAGCGUGGUAAAAAUCGUUGUCGUGGAAAUUUUAGAAGUAAGUCUCGCAAGAAUACCCAUAACCAUAGCCACUACAAUAAUGGUGGAAGAGGCCAAUCUAGAGGAAACCCUAGAGGCCAUCGGAAUUCAAACCGAGGCCAAAAUAACAGCACUCAAGGAAUGAGAAUGAUGACUAUAGCUUUCUCUAGACAACAUUCAGAAAACUGAAGAACGAAGUGUUUCCUUUUUACGAUAGGAAGAUUAAAAACCAUCUCAGCAGGCAACAGCCUACCGAAGAAAAGACGGCAAUAAAUUAAGAUGCCCAGGACUUUUUAUUUGUUAUUUUGCUUGACAGCGCGUUUCGUUAUUGAAAACGGAAGGACAACUAAGAAAUUCGCACGGCUGGUGUUGUUACGCAUAUGCAAUGUUUAGCACACAAUAUAUGUAAAGAUAAAAAAAUUUGUUGUUAUUUAACGUACAACAACGACAGCAU